rnacentral:rRNA from 1 species
UGGGGAAUAUUGGACAAUGGGCGAAAGCCUGAUCCAGCCAUGCCGCGUGUGUGAAGAAGGUCUUCGGAUUGUAAAGCACUUUAAGUUGGGAGGAAGGGCAGUAAGCGAAUACCUUGCUGUUUUGACGUUACCGACAGAAUAAGCACCGGCUAACUCUGUGCCAGCAGCCGCGGUAAUACAGAGGGUGCGAGCGUUAAUCGGAUUUACUGGGCGUAAAGCGUGCGUAGGCGGCUAAUUGAGUCGGAUGUGAAAUCCCCGAGCUUAACUUGGGAAUUGCAUUCGAUACUGGUUAGCUAGAGUGUGGGAGAGGAUGGUAGAAUUCCAGGUGUAGCGGUGAAAUGCGUAGAGAUCUGGAGGAAUACCGAUGGCGAAGGCAGCCAUCUGGCCUAACACUGACGCUGAGGUACGAAAGCAUGGGGAGCAAACAGG